UGUCACAUGUCUGUGAGAGAGUCCAGGCCAGAACUAUAUAAGCCCUAGUCUAAGCUAGCCAGAGGAGCCCAGGCUGAGACAGAGGGUAGACUCUGAAAGGCUCCAAGCAAAGUUGAAGCAGCCCUACAAGUGAGAGGAACUGGCAGUGGGGACUCAGACAUGUGGAGCCCAUAGCUCCCCCCUCACAAGAAGACCAAAAGGAACAGGAAGACUGGGAACUGAUCAUCUCUCUCCUAGAUAUUUCCUGAAGGUACAUGGGAAACAGCCCUUCAGCCCCAAAAAUGACUGUUCUCUCCAUUGAGGAACUCAAUGGCCCCUUCAGCCCCAGCAGAGAAUCACUGAGACUGGAGCUCUUGAAUAAUCACCUAAGGACAGCAAAUAUAAGGUCACUCCUGCUCCAGCCAUGACAAGCCUCCACAAGGGAAGCCAAACCCUUGUAGCAAUGGAUCCUGUUCCAUCUGGCUUCUCAGUCCGGCAGCAGCAAAAGAGCAUCAUUUUUUCCUGAUCCACAUGCUCUUUCCUACCGCCAGUCAUCUGCCUCACUCAGCAUACACUUGGAUGUACCUUUAUUCUGUCCUUGCCAACAAAACUAACUCAACAGGUAAGAAAAUCUGGAGGCUUAUUUUGAUAUGAAGAAUGCUAGUCUGCUGAGAAUCAAACAUGUUCUGUAUGGGAGCAUAUUCACAUAAAGCAGGGGUGCAGGUUGUAGCCGUAUUGGUCUAAGGAC